CAGAAUUAUAAAAGACUAAACCGAGUUUAUUUAUACCUAGUUAUGCUAUACUAUAAAUAGGAGAGAAAAAAAUUCAAAAACCCUAAUCUUCUCUCUCAGCCGUCACUCCUAAUUCCUCUCUCUCUCUCUCUCAAUCUCUCCCUCCCUCUCAGCCGUUUCUCUCUAACCCCCUCUUCCCUUUCUUCGUCUCCCUCGUUGUGUUCCUUCUCGGAACCUCGUCGAGGUGUGCGAGUGGCGUUGUAGUGUGUGCGAGCGAGGGUGCAGGCUGCGGGAGACGAGCGACGGGUGGCGCGAGUGUGUUUGCGAGUCGAGUGUUGUGCGGUUUGUGCGAAGGUGUGUGCAAGGAUCAUGUGCGAGACGAGCAAGCGAUGGACGACGAAUUGUUCGUGCUACUGGUGCGAUUGUGUGUGUGGUGGUACAAAGGCUGGUACGAUGAGCGUCUUGUUGUGCGCGUUCGAAGGUUAGGCGAGCGAACAACUUGUUCGACAGUCGGAGGGAGUGCAAAGUGGCGUGCGACGAUUCGAGCAUGGUGCGAAGGCUUGUGCGAGGUGCUGUGCGAAGUCACGGGGGUGUGCGACGAGUGCGGGAGUUGCGAGCGGUAGUGCGCGAGUGUGGUGUUGCGCCGUUGCCGGAAGUCGGUUGCCGGCGAGCUUAGCGACUAGGUGUAUUGGUGCUGCUGCAUGAUACCGAGCUUACGGGGAAUAGUCUUUAGUAUUUGAACCUUAAAGCAUUUUAAUUAAGUACUAUAAGAUUUACUAUGAUUUACUUAUUUGGUUUGUGGUUUGAAUAAAAGGGGUCGUUGAUGAUUCCCGAGUUGUAGUUACACUUUUAUUUCCGCUGCAUUUCAAUUUUCGAGACAA